GGAGCGGUAGUUCAGUUGGUUAGAAUACCUGCCUGUCACGCAGGGGGUUGCGGGUUCGAGUCCCGUCCGUUCCGCCA
rnacentral:tRNA from 5 species